GCAAUGGUAGCUUAGUGGUUAAGGCUCUGGGUUAUGGCGGAGGAGGUCGGGGGUUCAAGCCCUGGCGUUGCC